rfam:Rattus norvegicus chromosome 5, whole genome shotgun sequence.
UGUCAUCAAUGUUGUCUGGUUACAACAUCUGCUACCCCAGGGAAACUUGGGUUGAUUGGCAGUCUGCUCCCUUUCUCCUUUACUGAACUUUGCAUUCCCUCCCAAGCUGAGCCCUAGAUGAUCUUGUCUGGUAGAGGAGGACUGUCCUUUGGUCAGGGUGUAUGAGUAACUGCCCUCCCCUGCUUCAGCUUCUAAAUAAGUUCCUUUAGGAUAGAGGUGGGUAAACCAUUAGGAAGAGUUACACAGGGGAAUUGCUCUUCAUU